AUUGAACGCUGGCGGCAGGCCUAACACAUGCAAGUCGAACGAGUGGCGGACGGGUGAGUAAUGUCUGGGAAACUGCCUGAUGGAGGGGGAUAACUAAUGGAAACGGUAGCUAAUACCGCAUCCCAUCGGAUGUGACCAGAUGGGAUUAGCUAGUAGGUGGGGUAAAGGCACACUUAGGCGACGAUCCCUAGCUGGUCUGAGAGGAUGAAGCGCCACACUGUAAAUGAGACACGGUCCAGCCUCCUACGGGAUGCAUCAGUGUGGUAUGUUGCACAGUGGGCGCAAGCCUUAUUCAGCCAUGCCGCGUGUAUGAAGAAGGCCUUCGGUUUGUAAAGUACUUUCAGCGGUGAAGCGUUACCCGCAGAAGAAGCACCUGCUAACUCCGUGACAGCAGCCGCUGUAAUUC
rnacentral:rRNA from 1 species